UGGGGAAUCUUGGACAAUGGGGGCAACCCUGAUCCAGCGAUGCCGCGUGAGUGAAGAAGGCCUUCGGGUCGUAAAGCUCUUUAGGUUGGGAAGAAGUGUGUUUGAGGAAAUGCGAACACAUUGACGGUACCGACAGAAUAAGCACCGGCAAACUCUGUGCCAGCAGCCGCGGUAAUACAGAGGGUGCGAGCGUUAAUCGGAGUUACUGGGCGUAAAGGGCGCGUAGGCGGAUAUAUGAGUGUGAUGUGAAAGCCCUGGGCUUAACCUGGGAAGUGCAUCGCAAACGAUGUAUCUGGAAUACAAGAGAGGGUGGCGGAAUUUCCGGUGUAGCGGUGAAAUGCGUAGAGAUCGGAAGGAACGCCGAUGGCGAAGGCAGCCACCUGGCUUGAUAUUGACGCUGAGGCGCGAAAGCGUGGGGAGCGAACAGG
rnacentral:rRNA from 1 species